AACUGCGAUAACUGGUGUGAGUUGCACGGCACUCUAAUCUAACGCCAAGUGAAUCAUCGAGUCUUUGAACGCAAACGGCACCCUUCCAGUCCAUUCCAAAGCGGUGGCGGAGGAUGAAGACAAGGGUAUCUCUGACUGAGGGCAACGAGAACUGAUCCAGGCUGGCUUUGCUGGCC
rnacentral:rRNA from 1 species